CGGAUCAGGGUAGGCAUACCCGCUGAACUUAAGCAAUAA
rnacentral:rRNA from 1 species